rnacentral:tRNA from 1 species
GGGCCGUUAGCUCAAUCGGUAGAGCACCGGUCUCCAAAACCGGGGGUUGGAGGUUCGAGUCCUCCACGGUCUGCCA